UGAAAAAAAUUUAAUGAGUUUAAUUUUUAAUUUUUAUAAAUAUUGAACUUGCUAUAUUGUUAAUAGUAUGAAGUUAAAUUUAAUAAACUUAAUUAGAAGACUUCGACCUGUACGAGCAACACAAGAACAAAUUUAUACUCAUCAUGGGUGUACUCUUAAUUGCUCUAUAUUCUAGUUUCUACUAGUUUCUUAAAAUAGAUAUAC
rnacentral:lncRNA from 1 species